AGGAGUCUGAAAGGGCCGAGGGCCACGCGGAAAGCCGAACUCCAAGGUCGAGGGAGCCCAGGCUGAGUCCGGCACCUCGUUGGCGUGAGCGUCCUUUUGCAUAGGAGUCUUCGUCGAAUGCCCGGCAAGGAGGUGGGGGAGACGAGAGAGGUGCGCCCCGGAGCACGUAGUGUGAGCAUGAACAAUGCUGCGUUGAUGCACUGAAACACCAGAAGGCCCCAGCGAGGAGCACAGCGCUGCUGAUACGGGGAGCGAGGGAGGAUCCCUGCGCUGGAGAUGUCGGGUGCUCGUUGCUGGGAAGAACUGAUACGUCUCCUCUUGCCACCCCUCCACCAGCUCUGCGGGGCCACCGGUUCA
rnacentral:lncRNA from 1 species